AUUGAACGCUGGCGGCAGGCCUAACACAUGCAAGUCGAACGAGUGGCGGACGGGUGAGUAAUGUCUGGGAAACUGCCCGAUGGAGGGGGAUAACUACUGGAAACGGUAGCUAAUACCGCAUACCAUCGGAUGUGCCCAGAUGGGAUUAGCUUGUAGGUGAGGUAACGGCUCACCUAGGCGACGAUCCCUAGUUGGUCUGAGAGGAUGAACAGCCACAGUGGAACUGUGACACGGUCCGGACGACUACGGGAGGCAGCAGUGGUGAAUAUGGCAAAAUGGGCGCAAGCGUGAUACAGCCAGGCCGCGUGUAUGAAGAAGGCCUUCGGUUUGUAAAGUACUUUCAGCGGGGAGGCGUUACCCGCAGAAGAAGCACCGGCUAACUCCGUGCCAGCAGCCGCGGUAAUUC
rnacentral:rRNA from 1 species